GGUUUGUCUUCUUUAUGGGCUAGUCGGAUCUGACAAGGGUUGCCACGGCAACCAGAUGUGCAAUAGCUUGAAAAAUGUGGGAGAGAGGUAAGUGGAGCAGAGGUAGAAGAUUUUUCAGGACAAGCUAGCCCCACAUUUGCCAAAGGAUAAGGGGUAAAUUGUACAUGUAUUUGUUGAAAAGCAUUUGCAAUGCUGGCAUUCCUUUAUUUCUAGCACGAAGCAAAAAAUCCACAAGUGCCACACUAUUUACUUAAGGUUCAAAGAUGCUUUGUGGAGCUUUCCUUGCCACCUGCUUCCACCUAACUUUGCCAAAUGCCUGGAAAACAACUGUCUUGCUCCUUGUCUCUAACAGCAGCUUGAUCUACAGAUAUAUAGACGAUGAGCUUUCUCACCGGCUAAUGUUUGUAGAUCUAGCUGAUGUGAAGGACACAGAAGCAGUGGCUGGUAAAAUCACUGGCAGUCCUGCUUCUGAGUAGAGUUGUGUCCGUCCCCCCCUUUCUGGGCCUUUAGCAUGCAAAAAUUCAGCAGGUGUGAAGCUUUUCCUGGCAUGGAUCAAAGUGGUAGAAAGAGCUUUCCUCUAUUGUUUUAAAGUCUCAGUCUGCUGUUUAAGAUGCGCAGGAUCAAGGCUGGGUAUAAGAGUAGCAACCCUAUUUCUUUUGACCAUGAUGGGAAUGAAUUCCCGGCACGCGUUCUAUGAAGGCCAAUGUCACACCACGUACACAAAACUCUGCACAGAUUGGCAUUUUGCAAGCUCUUGACCCACAGAGCAGACAAAGCAGGGAGCUAUCUCAGACAGCAUCGUUCAAAAGGUGGGCACUAGCAACAACUGAAUUUGUCCAUUUCAGUUUCUCCUUUUUCCAAUCUUGGCUUGAGUUCCCCACAUUUCCACAGCAACUUGGGGGUUUCUUUUUUUUAAAAUAGCUUUUUUGUACCUGUUGCUUCCUCAGGUACAGUUAAAGCUAAAGGGACCCCUGACCAUUAGGUCCAGUCAUGACCGACUCUGGGGUUGCGCGCUCAUCUCGCUCUAUAGGCCAAGGGAGCCGGCGUUUGUCCGCAGACAACUUCUGGGUCAUGUGGCCAGCAUGACUAAGCCGCUUCUGGCGAACCAGAGCAGCACACGGAAAUGCCGUUUACCUUCCCGCCGGAGCGGUACCUAUUUAUCUACUUGCACUUUGACGUGCUUUCGAACUGCUAGGUUGGAGGGAGCAGGGACUGAGCAAUGGGAGCUCACCCCGUCGCAGGGAUUCGAACUGCCGACCUUCUGAUCGGCAAGUCCUAUGCUCUGUGGUUUAACCCACAGCACCACCCGCGUCCCUUAGGCCACAACAAAAUCCUAGGGUUGGAAGGGACUUCAAAGAUUAUCUGGUCAAAUUCCUUGUGCAAAAAAACCCCACUGCUACAACAUUCCUCCUAGGUGGACCAUCCAGCCUCUACUUAAAAACCUUGAAUGAACUACCUGCCUUUUGAAACAGUAUGUCCCAUUGUCCAACAGAUUCCACUGUCCAGGCGUCCUUCCUAAUGCUUCGUCUAAGGACCUUUUCUUGUAAUUCUGAGCCCAGUGGCUUGGGCCCUUACCUCUGGAGCAGAGAGGAACCUUUUCAUCCCCAAAUGGCGCAUGGACAGCCUUCAAGGACAGCAUGGCAGUAGCAAAUGGGGCCAGAGGUAAAUCGUAGGUGAAGCAGUGAAUGUGACUCACCUUUGUAUAAGAGGCUACAGGCUACAUCCACCUAGGCAAAAGUCAGAGGUUUCUACACAUCCACCCAUCUGUUCAUCUUCCACCCAUGCAAACAAAAGGCAGGACCACAAUUGAAGGGCACAAACAGCCUGGCAAAAGCACUCAAAGUGGGCCAUUGAGGGGCUUGGUGAGAGAGUCCUUGCUGGAUAUAGAGAAGCAUGGGGCAUCGCACUGGCCCUCCAGGCUUGAGGUUCACCAGCACCACCUCUGCUCUGCAGCAAAAAAAAAAAAAGCAAAUUUGCUCCAUCGCCUAUUUAACAGUCCUUCAAAUAGUGGAAGUUGGCAAUCCUAUCACCUCUUUAUCAUCUCCUCUUCUCCAGGCUAAAAUGUGCCCAAUGCUUUCCUCUGAGUCAUACAAUGUCUGCACAGUAGGACUUUUUAAAAACCAUCAUGGAAAGCAUGUCAUAAGCAAGAGUCAGCCAGUACGUAAUACUUUCUCGUGACUGACCAUGAUGCUGGAUCUCAUCUAGGGAUGAGGGAGAAAUUUGAUUCAGUUCAUGUUCAAAGAUGAACAUACCUAAUUUGUACUUCCCGAAACAAUACGAGAGUAAAAACACAGCCAACCUUCAAAAUUCACCCUUCUCCAGAUUUCUUCAGCUGAGUAAUGUGUACAAAGAUGCAUAUACUAGGGUGACGUGUGCAUAUAUUAGUGAAAAUAACAUUAUAUUUAGGGAAAUUUUGCUAGCAUGUUAGGCAAAACUGCAUAGAAGUAUGUAUAUAUUCAGAGAAAUGCACACUAAAAUGCAGAUGAAUUCUCAUGAGAAUAUAUAUAUAUAUAUCUGUAAUGAACUGAUGUGCAAAUGUGGAGAACUGAAUUUAAGAUUGGAAAUAUGCGAAGUUGAAAAUGAUAGAUUUGCCCAUCUCUAGUCUCAUCUGUAUGAAAUAGAGAAAGAACAGAGAGUAAAGAACUCAUAGUGCAAAUCCUAAUUUUUUUGAGCGAGGGAAGUUUUGUAUUUUUUCGUAGCAGAGGACUCUGACUCUGACUAGAUGCCUGCUUCCAUUAGAGUCAUGCAGAGGGGAAUAGGAUUGGCUCAUCAGCUGUUCGAGCACGCCAGUGCAAGUAGAUAAAUAGGUACUGCUGCGGUGGGAAGGUAAACAACGUUUUUGUGCGCUCUGGUUUCCAUCACGGUGUCCCGUCACGCCAGAAGCAGUUUAGUCCUGCUGGCCACAUGACCCGGAAAGCUGUCUGUGGACAAACGCCGGGUCCCUCAGCCUGAAAGCGAGAUGAGCGCCUCAACCCAAGAGUCACCUUUGACUGCACUUAACCAUCCAGGGGUCCUUUACCUUUUACCUUACCUUACAGUUGAUAGUUGCAGGGGAGUAAAAAGAAUUUACUUUUCUCCCAUAGGUAACUUUUGUUUGUGGAUCUUGGGCACUGAUUAAAUAGUGUUAUAGGGGCCCAAGGUGCUACUGCAGUCUUCUUCUUCUUCCUUCUCUCCCCCCCCCCCGCCUUCUUCUUCAAAUCCAUUCCCCAAAGCACUAGGAUUUAAGAAGCCUGGUCUUUUUUUCCUGUCUGAUUACAAGCUUGACUGUCAGCUGCAACAGAACACUCCCUCCUCCAUCUCCCCAUCCUGACAUUUUGGUCUAUCUUCCCCACUCACCUCACCUAACCUGGCAAGCUUAGAGGCAUUACUUUUGCUUUUAGCAGACACCUCUAUUGAUCUCUACAGUGGUACCUCGGGUUAAGUACUUAAUUCGUUCCGAAGGUCCGUUCUUAACGUGAAACUGUUCUUAACCUGAGGUACCACUUCAGCUAUUGGGGCCUCCCGCUGCUGCCACUGCGCCACUGGAGCACGAUUUCUGUUCUCAUCCUGAAGCAAAGUUCUUAACCUGAGGUAAUAUUUCUGGGUUAGUGGAGUUUGUAACCUGAAGCGUAUGUAACCCGAGGUACCACUGUAUUUGCCUUGGAUGAGCCCAGAAAAUCUCUGAAGCACCCCCACCAACAUGAAUCCAAACCAACUGUACAACCCUAGCAAGCAAGACAUUAUUUUCUGCAUAUUCUUAUAUAAAUUUUGGCUUCAAGAAACAUUCCUACAUACCAGACUUCUGAUAAAUGAACAAAAAGAAGAGAGGCUUGGUGUGUGAAUAUUAUUAUUACUAUUACUAUUACUAUUACUAUUACUAUUAUUUAGUAAUGAGGGUUUUUUGGCCAAUUGGCAACUCUCCACCACAGUCAAAUCCAAUUCAGCAGUAAGUUCCAUUGGAUUCCUUGGGACUUUCUCCCAAGUAACCAAGUACAGGAUAGUAGCUUCAGUUUUGUUAUAUUGGGCUUAGAGGUAUUGGGGCAGUAAAAAAAAUAAAUGUUGGCUUUCUUGCUUGCUGAAUAAAAAUAAAAAUAAUACAGACAUUUGGAACAGGACAAAGGUGUUUGUUUCAUUCUUCGCUCUUUCUACCCCAAACAAUAUCCAAAUUGUACCUGUGGGCAAUCACAUGGCCACAUUCAACAGAGCAAAUUUUGAAUGCAAUAAUCUUGAGGGAAGUCCCAUCUUGUUUCAAUUAUAUGCUUUCAGUGCUUAGGAUGAAAAAAAGGGGGGUGGCCUUUCUACUACCUUGAAAGAAAAAGCCCUUUCAGGAUGGGGUGUGUGUGUGUGUGUGUGUGUGUGUGUGUGUGUUAUCACUGAUGCAAUAAUAGUGCCUUAAUGGUGGAAUUGGGGAUGCGGGACUUGACAAUCAGAAGGUUCGAAUCCCCGCGACGGGGUGAGCUCCCGUUGCUCGGUCCCUGCUCCUGCCAACCUAGCAGUUCAAAAGCACGUCAAAGAGCGAGUAGAUAAAUAGGUACCGCUCCAGCAGGAAGGUAAACGGCGUUUCCGUGUGCUGCUCUGGGUCACCAGAAGCAGCUUAGUCAUGCUGGCCACAUGACCCGGAAGCUGUACGGCGGCUCCCUCGGCCAAUAAAGCAAGAUGAGCACCGCAACCCCAGAGUUGGUCAUGACUGGACCUAAUGGCCAGGGGUCCCUUUACCCUUUAAUGGUGGAAUUAUACUGGACCAUCUGCACAUCGUUCCAUUUUGUAAGUUGUUCUGUUGGGCUUCCUGAAUGAUCCUGCCACCCCGAAGAGGCAUCCCAAAAAAUGAACCAGAACAUUUGUUUUAAGAUUUCAGAAGGAAGCUACAGGACAUGCACUAACUGGAAACAAUACAGUAGCCCCCCCCCCAAAUGGUUGCAAGCUGAAAUGGUAUUAAAAGAAGAAUCACAUAUAAGCACCCCAGUAUCAACAUGAGCACAAAUCAUCAUGAAAGCACACAAAAGGACAUCCAUAGGGCGUCAAAAGUGUAGCCCAAAUAACAAACCAAUAUGCAAAUAUUACCCACACAAUCCCACAAUGCAAAACUGCUAAUGCAUAGCAGGCUCAGCGUGGAAAUAUGAAAGUGGUUUAAGUUGAAUCUCAUCAGGGUGUAAAAACCAAGUUGACAAAAAUUUAGCUUGGUUGCAAAGUAAGUCUUAGCAUAGGGUCACUUCUGUCAUGUCCUUCCAUCCAGAACUUCAGGUUAUGGAAGCUGGUGGGCCUACAUCCAUUGAUUGUAAUCUAGCCUUUGCUUUAAAGGGAAAAUAAAAAGGCAUUGCAACAGUGGAGUUCCUAGCCCAUAACUUUUCGCUCCCCACCCACACAAGCACACAACAACAAAGGAAAUGAAACAGGCUCCACACCCACUGCUACCCCUCAGGAAAUUGCAGAUUCCAUCCACGCAGCCGCCUCCUUCGCCCUGGACUCCAGUCCUGGUGUGUGCGCAAGGCCCGUUGGUUGCCAUGGCAACAGAGGGAGAAUGGCUUGGGUCUCUGUUUCCAAUUUAAUAUCAAAUAAGCCUUAACGUGCAGUUUAUGAAACAUGUUGAGGGGGAGAGAUGAGGGGGGUGGGUUUGGAUCCCGGGAGCCAAGCUGCCAGCUAGGAAAAGGCUCUCUAUGCCGCAGUGGAGAAACUUUAAAGCCAAGUGUCCAGUAAUUGUAAGCAUAAUUAUUUGGGGAUCCCAAAUCCCCAGCUUUGCCGAAGAUGGCUUUUGGGCUGAUGUCUCCUGAUGAUCCACAUUGCUCUAGAUUUCUCUUGCAAAAAGAGAUGCUUUGCAUAUCCCCCAGCAGGAAGAUGUACAUACAAGCUGUCCCAUCAACUGGGAGUUUGUGUCUGGCCCAGCAAGGAAGCUGCAAAUGUUUCACACCAGACUGUAUCAUUUGGAAAAAUGGGAAGCACACAAUGAAACCAUGCUUCCUGGUUCCUUUCAUGUGACUGUCUCAUCCCAAGCCAUUCUUUUGCUGAAGCAUAUGGGCUUGGAAGGCAAUCACAUUGAAAUCAAUGGCUGGGGAAAUGAGUUUAGUAGUAGGAUGUUUGGUUUUCAGAAGCCAGCAAAAUAAAUCCACUCAGAAUAGUAAUCAGCCACUCAGUGCACUUUAACCCCUUUCUUCUUGUGUAUGCACUGUUACAAGGGAUGCGGGUGGCGCUGUGGGUUAAACCACAGAGCCUAGAACUUGCCGAUCAGAAGGUCGGCGGUUCGAAUCCCUGCAACGGGGUGAGCUCCUGUUGCUCAGUCCCAGCUCCUGCCAACCUAGCAGUUCGAAAGCACGUCAAAGUGCAAGUAGAUAAAUAGGUACCACUCUGGCGGGAAGGUAAACGGCGUUUCCAUGUGCUGCUCUGGUUCGCCAGAAGCGGCUUAGUCAUGCUGGCCACAUGACCUGGAAGCUGUACGCCGGCUUCCUCGGCCAAUAAAGCCAGAUGAGCACCGCAACCCCAGAGUGGCCACGACUGGACCUAAUGGUCAGGGGUCCCUUUACCUUUACCUUUAUGCACUGUUACAUUACUCUGCCACCUUUCUUCCAAGGAGCUUGAGGUGAUUCGCCCCUUCUCCAUUUUAUCCUCACAGCAACCCUGUGAGGUAGGUUAGGCUGAGGGACAGUGACUGGCACAUGGUCAUUCUGAGCUUCAUGGCUGAGUCCAGGACUCUAACCACUAAGGUAAAGGUAAAGGUAAAGGAUCCCUGGACAGUUAAGUCCAGUCAAAGGCAACUAUGGGGUUGUGGCGCUCAUCUUGCUUUCAGGCCGAGGGAGCCAGCGUUUGUCCACAGACAGCUUUCUGGGUCAUGUAGCCAGCACGACUAAACCGCUUCUGGCACAACAGAUCACUGUGACGGAAGCCAGAGCACACAGAAACGCCGUUUACCUUUCCGCCACAGCAGUACCUAUUUAUCUACUUGCACUGGCGUGCUUUCGAACUGCUAGGUUGGCAGGAGCUGGGACAAAGCAAUGGGAGCUCACUCCGUCUGCAGGAUUUGAACCACAGACCUUCUGAUCGGCAAGCCCAAGAGGCUCAGUGGUUUAGAGCACAGCGCAACUGCAUCCCACACCAGCUCUGAGGUAGGAUUUUAAUAUGAAUGCUGACUGGAGUAUUCAGCUGAGGUAAUGAAAAAGGGGGAAAGUGCCUGAUAUGGUGGGCAUGCCUUAAGUUUUUAAGUGUAAAGUGUUCUUACCCUAUACACACACAAUUAAGUUACACAUGGGGAAAGGUACUGAGAUUGUGCCAGGUGGCCCUACAGACACACCAUGACCUCUGCACAUCGAUCCCACAUGCCCAACAUUUAUAUGUUGGACAUCAUGCUUUCAAAGGGCCCAGUGCCUCUUGACACCAUUGAGCAUAGGCCCAAAACAUGCUACAUGUACGCUCCAAAUUUGCAACAUGUAGACUAUGGAAUUUGGGUCAAUACGUAGAGCACUCUACACAAAUGUGUUGCAUCGUCCAUGGAAACCAAGCAUUCUCAGGAGAAGAUGUGGACAGCGACCUCCCAUCCACUAUGGGAAGAAUAUUCAGGCCAUUGUGAAAGCACAGACACACAUCCUGUCCGGUCACUAUGGCAGUCUGGGAUGUUGAGGGUCGUACGGUUAGGACAUAGUCAAAAUUAUGUAAAGCAGUUCUGUGUAAAUGCCCACAAAACAACAACAUGAGCUGUUGCACAAAGUUGAGAAAUGAAGAAAUUGAAAAAGUUUCCAGUUAAUUUUGUUUUUGAAAGUCAACCUGGAGCAGUCUUGGCGCUUCCCCUUGUAAAACUCAGCAAGGAGGAGCAUAGAGAUGAAACUAGAAUGAGCUAACAUUGACUCCAUGUAUUAUUUGGGUUCCCUGCCUUCCGCCCCACCUGUCCAAAUGGGGACCAGCCACCACUGGCUGGAGGUGGGACUGUUCCCAGCAGGAAGCAGACAGGAAGCAUAAAGAAAGUGGGAAUCAUGUUUGGGGUUAUCAGUUCUUAUAAUUCUCUGGGAAUGUUGAAAUGGUAUAUUCUCUGGAUCAGAGGUGGCCCUCCAGAUGAUGUUGGCCAGUAUUGAGGGCUGAUGGAAGUUGUAGUCCAACAACACUGGGAGGGCCAUAGACAGUGAAGACUGGUCCAUUGGGGCAGGUGGGGCGCUGCCGAACCUAGAUCAGCCUGCCCUCAGCCAGUCCCUACCUAUCUGCCUCCUUACAACCAUCUCCAACUCCUCGAAAGAUUUCAUCAAUGGUGUCUCCAAAAAUUUUUUACACAUCACUUGGGAAGACAGGAGAACUAAUAUCAGUGUACUGGAAAAAGCAAAGAUCACCAGUGUUGAAGCAAUGAUUCUUCAACAUCAACUUCGUUGGACUAGUCAUGUUGUGUGGAUGCCUGAUGAUCGUCUUCCAAAGCAACUACUCUAUUCCAAACUUAAAAAUGGAAAGCGUAAUGCUGGUGGUCAACAAAAGAGGUUUAAUGACUGUCUCAUGGCAAAUCUUUAAAAAUGUAGUAUAAACACUGACAACUGGGAAACGCUGGCCUGCGAACGCUCCAGUUGGAGAACAGCCUUUACCAAGGGUGUCAUGGACUUUGAAGACACUCGAAGUCAGGAAGCAAGGGAGAAACGUGCUAGGAGGAAGGCACGCUUGGCAAAUCCACACCGUGAUCAACUCCUGCCCGGAAACCGAUGUCCCCACUGUGGAAGGACGUGUGGAUCUAGAAUUGGCCUCCACAGUCACUUACGGACCCACUAUUAAAACUGUGUUUAUGGAAGACAGUCUUACUCUGCUACUAGUAAUCGCUGAAGAAGUAUUGUAGAGUUGGAAGGGACCCAAGAGUCUUCUAGUCCAACCCCCUGCAAUGCAGGAAUCUCAGCUAAAGCAUCCAUGACAGAUGGCCAUCUAACCUUUGCUUUAAAACCUCCGAGGAAGAAGAGUCCACAACCUCUCAAGAGAGUCCGUUCCACUAUCAAACAGCUUUUGCUGUCAGAAAAUUCUUCCUGGUGUUUAGCCUUUCUUGUAACUUGAAGCCACUGGUUUGGGUCCUACCUUCCUGAGCUGCUUCCUCUUCCAUGUGACAGCUCUUUAGAUAUUUGAAGAUGGCUAUCAUAUCUGCUCUCAGUCUCCUUUUAUCCAGGCUAAGCAUAUGCAACUCCCUCAACCAUUCCUCAUAAAACUUGGUUUCUAGAUCCUUGAUCAUAUUAGCCGCCCUCCUCUGCACACAUUCCAGUUUGUCAAUGGCCUUCUUCAGUUGUGGUGCCCAGAACUGGAUACGGUACUCCUGGUGUGGUCUCACCAAGGCAGAAUAGAGCAGUACUAUUACUUCUUUCCUGCUCCUUAGUCUCAUGGGUGCCCCUUGUAGAACUCAGCAGGGAGGAGGAUGAGCUGAGGGGCUCUCUGUGGGACUGUCUCCACAAAGUCCAGCUAGUAAAGACCUGUGGACCUGUGAAACUCAUGGAUAAGCAGGUGAAAGUGGAGAACAAAGGAACCCUUAACAAACCACAGUUACUAGAUUCUUUGGAGGAAGCCAUGUGCUUUAAAUGUGCAUUCAAUGUGCUUUAAAUUAUCUGCCUUUGAUCUGGGAUAGGGGGUGGGGAGAAAUGUUAUCUUCAAAGUUUAAUUCCCAGCUCACUUAAUCAGCAAGACUUUGCUUUAUGAACCAGGUUGUAGCGGAUCAGCACUCAAGGUGUGGACAUGCUAUUGAUUCACAUAUUGGUAGCAUGAGCUUUUCUUUCUUUCUUUUUCCUACCCCUUUCUUAAUCGUACUAAAUGUUCCCUUUAUGCCAAUGUUUCCAGGGACCAGUUUAUACCAGCUCCACACCUCUUGACCAGCAACAGUUAAUAUAGGUCCCAAAAUGUAUGUAAAUAUAGUUGUGGAUUAUUCCGCAGACACCCAUGCACGCAGAGGCCCACACAUAUAUUACACACCCACACAACUCGUAUUGCUUUGCCCUUAUCAACAAUGAAUUGCAUCUGCUAUUUCAUUGCCUGCUUCCUACCGGCGUCAUGAAAUCCUCCAGCUUUAUGCCUCAAAAUACAUUUAUCCUGGGCUAUAGAGUUUAGAGUACACACAUAAAAUGAUUAAUUUAUAUUCUUAGGGCGAAUGCAUUCAAUAUUUAUGUGUAUAGUAACUGUAAUUGUAUAGAACCUAGCUUAAUUACAAUAAAUAAAUGUUACUUAUUAUUACUGUUAUUCCCUGGACUCCAGAGUGUGAUUAAAGCAGGAUACAAAUGCAGAUCUACUGGUAGUUUCUUAAAGCGAGACAGGCAAUUUUUGUCACCACUUGCUUUACAUUUAAUUACAGGCUCAGGGAGAGUGCAAAGCUGGUUCAACACAAUAGUUUUGACAGGGAGAAGUUUUCGUUGUUGAUCAGUGGCUGCUGAACAGAGCUGGCCUGGGGCAUUUUGCUGCCUGAAGUUCAGCCUCCCCACUCCCACCCUAUCCCAUCCCAUAGCAUCACAGAAGCCGAUGAGACCAGCAGCUGAAUUUUACUUCAGCACUGGCGACGGGACAGCAUCCUCUGCCACAACUGAAGACGGCAGCC
rnacentral:lncRNA from 1 species